rnacentral:rRNA from 1 species
UACGGAGGGUGCAAGCGUUGUUCGGAAUUAUUGGGCGUAAAGGGGAGGUAGGUGGUCUUAUUUGUCUAGGGUGAAAUCCCGGGGCUUAACCCCGGAAGUGCCUUGGAAACGGUAAGACUAGAGUGCUGGAGAGGGUUGUGGAAUUCCCGGUGUAGCGGUGAAAUGCGUAGAGAUCGGGAGGAACACCAGAGGCGAAGGCGGCAACCUGGACAGCUACUGACACUCAACUCCGAAAGCGUGGGGAGCAAACAGG